GCUGUGAGUUAUUCUUCUUAAGCAAAACCUUAUUUUACGCAGUAGCCAUCGGUUUUUCUGUUUACUUUUUUUUUCUUAAUUAAUGUUUCUAUCGGUAUCAUUAUAGGUUGGUAAAGCUGGUGGAGACGCGUGGAAAAAAUUGUCAGAGGCUGUGAGUAAAAUUUAUGUUCAAAUUGGUUAUGAUUUCAUGAUUUUCAGUAAUUGAGUUGUUUACUGAACUUUGUCUGUGCUUGUUAAUGUGAUUUAGGAGAAAGCACCUUACCAGGCAAAGGCUGAGAAAAGAAAGGCUGAAUACCAAAAGAACAUGGAUGCCUAUAACAGAAAACAGGUUAAUAUUUUAUCCUACUGAUGUAACUAAAGAGUGAGAAGAGUGAGUGAGUGUGUGUGUGUGUGUGUUUGUUUGUGCUCAGCCUUUUGGUUUCAUUUUUUUUCCGGUGCAACACAGGCUGGUGAUGCUGAAGAGGAUGAAUCAGACAAGUCAAAGUCUGAGGUUCAUGAUGAUGAUGACGAGGACGAUGAUGGAAGCGAAGAGGUUUGCCUUUGCAUUUAUUAGUCUAAUUUACUUUAGUUAAAUUAUUUUGGUGAAUUAUGGAAGACUUAUUGUUGAGUUUUGUUCAUAUUUGUUUUGCAGGAGGAGGACGAUGAUUAAAAACUGAAUAGCUGUUGAAUUGCAGAAAAUUAUGGCAAAGUUGAUGUAGGAAUCCCUUUCAGCCCUUUCCUUGAUAAAUAGAUGCCCUCUUUUUAAGGUUUCGUUUCUUUUUCUUUUUGUUUUUGGGGGGUUUAGUUGGGAC
rnacentral:lncRNA from 1 species